GUUGUGUUGUGUUGUGUUGUGUUGUGUUGUGUUGUGUUGUGUUGGGUUGGGUUGGGUUGUGUUGGGUUGUGUUGGGUUGUGUUGUGUUGUGUUGUGUUGUGUUGGGUUGGGUUGGGUUGUGUUGGGUUGUGUUGAGUUGUGUUGGGUUGUGUUGGGUUGUGUUGGGUUGUGUUGGGUUGUGUUGGGUUUUGUUGGGUUGUGUUGGUUUUGAUGUUUUAAUGUUUUAAUAAUAUUCGGC